rnacentral:lncRNA from 10 species
GGAAUCCCAUGUGAGGGUCAAGCAUUCAGAUCCUCACAGCAGUGUUCUGGAAUUCUAUGUGAGUGACAACCAUUCAGACUCCAGCAGCAGAGUUCUGUAUUCCUAUGUGAAGGACAAACAUUCAGAAUCCAGGAGCAGUGUUUUGAAAUCAUAUGUUAAGGGCAAACAUACAGACCCUAGCAUCAAUGUUCUAGAAUCAUAUGUGAGGGACAGACAUUCAGACCCUCGCAACAGUGUUCUGGAAUCCUAGAUGGGGGACAAACAUUCAGACCCCAGCAGCAGGCUUCUGGAAUCCUAUGUGGGGGACAAACAUUCAGACAAUGGCAGCAGUGUUCUGGAAUCCUACGUGAGGGACAAACACUCAGAGCCUUGUAGCAGUGUUCUGGAAUCCUAUGUGAGUGAGAGUGCCUGGAGCCUACCCAAACUGACGCCCCCAAAGCCUUCACAGGGUCUGACCUCCCAGCAUGCACCUGCCUCUCCCUGAACCCCAACUACCCACCCUGCCUGUUCCCUGGCCUCCUUCAUCCUGUGCAGCCCAUAGACUGUGACCAUCUCUGCAGCCACUCUGGCCCUUCCUUUACCUUUGUCCUCUCAGAAUCUCUGAGCAGGAUCUCCCAGGUCCAUCCAAACCUGCUUUGUCCACUUUUGACUGGGCCAUUGAACACCACUGGGCCACCCCAGCUGUCCACAGGCUCCUUGAUAACAUGCAUUUCUCCUGACAUCUCCCAGCAGUACUCAGCAGCCCCCAUUGACCAGGUCCCUGGUGACCAGAUCCAGCAUAUCACUUCCUCCCUGACCACACCCUCACUGAUUAGAGCCCCAUCACCAGGCCUCACUAACUAGAUUCCCGCUGCCAGGCCCACAAUGACCAGGACUCCACUGACGAGGACCUUACUGACAAGGCCUCACUGGCAAGGCCUCACUGACGAGGUCCUUACUGACAAGGCCUCACUGAUCAGGUUCCACCUAUCAUGACUCCAUUGUCUGGUCCCACAGACGAAGCCCCACUGACCAGGCCUGCAGGGAACAGGCAGCCAGUGACCAGGCCCCUGCUAACCAGGACUGAGGUGACAAGAUGCCCCUGACUGGGACCCUAAUGACUACACCCCACUGAACAGGCACACACUGCUCAGAUCCCUGCUGACCAGGUCACCCCAUAGACCAGUGCUACAAAAGCCACCAAUGAUCAAGUCCUCUCUGACCAGGCCCCCACUGAUUAAGUUCCACGGACCAGCCUGCCCUGACCAGGGCCCCACUGACAAGCGUCUCUGCUGACUAGGUCCCAAGGUCUCCACUGACCAAGUCCCACAGCCCAGGUUGGCACUGACCAGACACCAAACAUUUGUCUACCACUAUCAACCCACUCACCAAGACAUGCACUACUAGAUCCCUCUAAUGAGACCCACUCUAAGCAGACCCCUGCUGACCACCCCCCACUAAAUAGGCCUCACUGACAAGUCCCAACUGACUAGGUCCACUGAGCAGGCCCACACUGAUCAGGCCCCUCCUAACCAUAUCAGAAGACCA